rnacentral:rRNA from 1 species
UACGUAGGGUCGAGCGUUGUCCGGAAUUACUGGGCGUAAAGAGCUCGUAGGUGGUUUGUCGCGUUGUUCGUGAAAACUCACAGCUUAACUGUGGGCGUGCGGGCGAUACGGGCAGACUUGAGUACUGCAGGGGAGACUGGAAUUCCUGGUGUAGCGGUGGAAUGCGCAGAGUAUCAGGAGGAACACCAGUGGCGAAGGCGGCUCUCGUGGACAGGAACUGACGCUGAGACGCGAAAGCGUGGGGAGCAAACAGG